rnacentral:rRNA from 1 species
GAUGAACGCUGGCGGCGUGCCUAAUACAUGCAAGUCGAGCGAACGGACGAGAAGCUUGCUUCUCUGAUGUUAGCGGCGGACGGGUGAGUAACACGUGGAUAACCUACCUAUAAGACUGGGAUAACUUCGGGAAACCGGAGCUAAUACCGGAUAAUAUUUUGAACCGCAUGGUUCAAAAGUGAAAGACGGUCUUGCUGUCACUUAUAGAUGGAUCCGCGCUGCAUUAGCUAGUUGGUAAGGUAACGGCUUACCAAGGCAACGAUGCAUAGCCGACCUGAGAGGGUGAUCGGCCACACUGGAACUGAGACACGGUCCAGACUCCCACGGGAGGCAGCAGUAGGGAAUCUUCCGCAAUGGGCGAAAGCCUGACGGAGCAACGCCGCGUGAGUGAUGAAGGUCUUCGGAUCGUAAAACUCUGUUAUUAGGGAAGAACAUAUGUGUAAGUAACUGUGCACAUCUUGACGGUACCUAAUCAGAAAGCCACGGCUAACUACGUGCCAGCAGCCGCGGUAAUACGUAGGUGGCAAGCGUUAUCCGGAAUUAUUGGGCGUAAAGCGCGCGUAGGCGGUUUUUUAAGUCUGAUGUGAAAGCCCACGGCUCAACCGUGGAGGGUCAUUGGAAACUGGAAAACUUGAGUGCAGAAGAGGAAAGUGGAAUUCCAUGUGUAGCGGUGAAAUGCGCAGAGAUAUGGAGGAACACCAGUGGCGAAGGCGACUUUCUGGUCUGUAACUGACGCUGAUGUGCGAAAGCGUGGGGAUCAAACAGGAUUAGAUACCCUGGUAGUCCACGCCGUAAACGAUGAGUGCUAAGUGUUAGGGGGUUUCCGCCCCUUAGUGCUGCAGCUAACGCAUUAAGCACUCCGCCUGGGGAGUACGACCGCAAGGUUGAAACUCAAAGGAAUUGACGGGGACCCGCACAAGCGGUGGAGCAUGUGGUUUAAUUCGAAGCAACGCGAAGAACCUUACCAAAUCUUGACAUCCUUUGACAACUCUAGAGAUAGAGCUUUCUCCUUCGGGGGACAAAGUGACAGGUGGUGCAUGGUUGUCGUCAGCUCGUGUCGUGAGAUGUUGGGUUAAGUCCCGCAACGAGCGCAACCCUUAAGCUUAGUUGCCAUCAUUAAGUUGGGCACUCUAAGUUGACUGCCGGUGACAAACCGGAGGAAGGUGGGGGUGACGUCAAAUCAUCAUGCCCCUUAUGAUUUGGGCUACACACGUGCUACAAUGGACAAUACAAAGGGCAGCGAAACCGUGAGGUCAAGCAAAUCCCAUAAAGUUGUUCUCAGUUCGGAUUGUAGUCUGCAACUCGACUACAUGAAGCUGGAAUCGCUAGUAAUCGUAGAUCAGCAUGCUACGGUGAAUACGUUCCCGGGUCU